AUGGGAAGUGUAGUUCUGCAACAGCUGGAGGUCCGCUAAUUACGUAUCUCUGUUCUAAGGCAACUAGCAUUUUCAGGAGAUCAACAAUGGCAGCUUGCACGCUUUUUCUAAAGUUCUCCACCCACAAUUUCAGUUCCGAUCUUUGCAUGGAUAGCUUCUCAUAAUGGCAGCCUGGACCACAAAAGAUUGCCACAGGGUGCUUUCCAAAGUCAGACUCGUUUUUGGGGUCUGUGUUGCCUUUCCAGGAUAUGGAGGCUUCUUACCUAUUGCCACAGGGUGCUUUCCAGAGUCGGACUCGUUUUUGGGGUCUGUGUUGUCUUUCCAGAAUAUGGAGGCUUCUUACCUAUUGCGCUGGAAGGCCCCAACGCGGUCCUCAAAAACUGAGUCGCAUCUGUCGUGUGCCCCUGGCUUUCCCACUGGCAUAGUAAAACUAAAAUUGUCCCUGGAGAAUCUUUAAGAAAUAGUUUUAUUUGAGCUUGUCAAAGGAGCGACCUUUCUGCUAAAUACUAGCGAGCUGGAUAAGGCAUUAGAUGUCCGAUAGGUAAAAUGUCUGCUUCACUUUUUCUAAAAAGGGACCAAUAGCACCCAGCCACGUUCAUUGUCUGUUUUUUUUUUUUUAUCUUUAUUUUUUUAUUAUAAAUUUAUUUUAUAAUUUUUUUUUCUUUUUAUGAAUUAAUGCUAUGGAGGCACUUUUACGUAAUCCUAUUUUGUACGCUGUCUGUCGCCAGGGCUCACCUCUUUCCCUCCCCUUUUCAAGUCUGGUUUUCACACAUGGUUGGGGGGGCAUUCGUCUGUAUAAUUUCUGCACUUGCUCGUCUCUCCUGAACGCUCCCACCAGACGGUCCUGUCUGGUUCAAGGAUCACCACUACUCCUAUCAGUCUCUGCUACAAGGGCCUCCCUCCCUCCGCUCAAACUUCUGGAAUAAAACAUGAGUGCUGCUAAGUUACUAA